GUGUCGUUUCCACCGCGGCACCCUUUUCCGACAUUAGAAACAAUAGUACUUCCUAGCAUGGGCUGUUGUGCUGGAGAGAACGAGAGCUACGAAGAGACUACAGUGCCUCUGACUUUUUCAUAGGACAGUUGGCCGAGGAAGACAAACAUAAAGAUGAAGUGCUUAAUUCAAGGUCACACAAUGUCGGGGAUGGACCUCCAGAUUUCCUUACUGGAAAACAAGCUCAGGGCUCCCACUGAUUGUACAUUAUGGUGAGACGUGGUCUUGUAACACAGUGGUUAAGAAUGUGACUUUGGAGCCAGCCUGCUAGGGGCUGAAUUCUGACUCAGCCAUUUACUAACUGUGUGACCUUAGUCUGUCUAGUGACUGGUGUUGUCAUAAGAAGAGAGGGACACAGAGGGAAGAUGGCCACAUGAAGAUGGAGGCAGAGAUUGCAGUUAUGCUGCUGCAAACUAAGGAAUGGCUCUGGCCCUCCAAGGAUUGCUGAUAACCACCAGAAACUAGAAGAGACAAGGAAGGAUUCUUCCCUAGAGCCUUCAGAGGGAGCAUGGCCCUACUGACACCUGGAUUUCAAACUUGUAGCUUCCUAAACUGCAAGAGAAUAAAUUUCUGUUGUUUUAAGCCAUAUAGUUUGUGGUAAUUUGUUAUGGCAGUCCUAGGUAAUUAGUGUACACUCUUACCAUCUUCAUUUUCAGAUAAAGGAAACUGAGGCCCAGAGAAGUCAAAUACUUUGAGAUCUCUGUAGGCCCCUACUGUGCUGGCUGUGCAUAGAUUCCAUACCUCCUGCUGUUGCUGUUGUUGGGUCUCCACCUUUACCAUGGCCAUCACCUCCUGGCAGUGCUGGAGCUGAGCUGCUGGAAUAACUUGUUUUUCUUUUUUCUUUUUUUUUUUUCUUUUAAGACAGAGUUUUGCACUGUCCCCCAGGUUGGAGUGCAGUGGUGCGAUCUCGGCUCACUGCAACCUUUGCUUCCUGGGUUCACGCCAUUCUCCUGCCUCAGCCUCCCAAGUAGCUGGGACUACAGGCACCUGCCACCACGC
rnacentral:lncRNA from 10 species